rnacentral:rRNA from 1 species
AAUGAACGCUGGCGGCAGGCCUAACACAUGCAAGUCGAACGGGUCCUUCGGGACUAGUGGCGGACGGGUGAGUAACGCGUGGGAACGUGCCCCUUGGUACGGAAUAGCCCCGGGAAACUGGGAGUAAUACCGUAUGUGGUCGAGAGACGAAAGAUUUAUCGCCAAGGGAUCGGCCCGCGUUGGAUUAGGUAGUUGGUGGGUAAUGGCCUACCAAGCCGACGAUCCAUAGCUGGUUUGAGAGGAUGAUCAGCCACACUGGGACUGAGACACGGCCCAGACUCCUACGGGAGGCAGCAGUGGGGAAUCUUAGACAAUGGGGGAAACCCUGAUCUAGCCAUGCCGCGUGAUCGAUGAAGGCCUUAGGGUUGUAAAGAUCUUUCAGGUGGGAAGAUAAUGACUGUACCACCAGAAGAAGCCCCGGCUAACUCCGUGCCAGCCGCCGCGGUAACAC